UGAAAUUGAUCUCCCCGUGCAGAAGCGGGGAUAAUACCAUAAGACGAGAAGACCCUAUGGAGCUUUAGACGUCAGAGCAGCCCAUGUAAAGCACCCCUUAACAAAGGAAAAAACCAAAUGAAGCCUGCCCUAAUGUCUUUGGUUGGGGCGACCGCGGGGAAAUACAAAACCCCCAUGUGGAGUAGGAAUACACAUUCCUAAACCCAAGAGCUCCCGCUCUAAUGAACAGAAAUUCUGACCAAUAAGAUCCGGCACACGCCGAUCAACGGACCGAGUUACCCUAGGGAUAACAGCGCAAUCCCCUUAAAGAGCCCUUAUCGACAAGGGGGUUUACGACCUCGAUGUUGGAUCAGGACAUCCUAAUGGUGCAGCCGCUAUUAAGGGUUCGUUUGNUC
rnacentral:rRNA from 1 species